rnacentral:rRNA from 1 species
GGGCCCGCACAAGCAGCGGAGCAUGUGGUUUAAUUCGAAGCAACGCGAAGAACCUUACCAGGUCUUGACAUCGAUCUAAACCUGUAGAGAUACGGGGUGCCUUCGGGCAAGAGAAGACAGGUGGUGCAUGGUUGUCGUCAGCUCGUGUCGUGAGAUGUUGGGUUAAGUCCCGCAACGAGCGCAACCCUUAUUGUCAGUUACUAACGGGUAGAGCCGAGGACUCUGACGAGACUGCCGGGGACAACUCGGAGGAAGGUGGGGACGACGUCAAAUCAUCAUGCCCCUUAUGACCUGGGCUACACACGUGCUACAAUGGUGGCAACAAAGAGGAGCGAGCCCGUAAGGGGAAGCGGAUCUCAAAAAAGCCAUCUCAGUUCGGAUUGUGGGCUGCAACCCGCCCACAUGAAGUCGGAGUUGCUAGUAAUCGCGAAUCAGCAUGUCGCGGUGAAUACGUUCCCGGGCCUU